GACGAACGCUGGCGACGCGCUUAACACAUGUAAGUCGAACGGAAAGGCCUGCUUUCCCUUGUGGAUUGCGGGUACUCGAGUGGCGAACGGGUGAGUAACACGUGAGUGAUCUGCCCCCAACUUGGGUAUAAGCCUGGGAAACUGGGUCUAAUUCCCGAUAGGACUGCAGGGUGGUGCCUGUGGUGGAAAACGAUUUUCUAGUGGUUGGGGAUGAGCUCGCGGCCUAUCAGCUUGUUGGUGGGGUAAUGGCCUACCAAGGCGGCGACGGGUAGCCGGCCUGAGAGGGUGGACGGCCACAUUGGGACUGAGAUACGGCCCAGACUCCUACGGGAGGCAGCAGUGGGGAAUAUUGCACAAUGGGCGGAAGCCUGAUGCAGCGACGCCGCGUGGGGGAUGACGGCCUUCGGGUUGUAAACUCCUUUCGACCGCGAGGAAGCCACCUGGUUGGAAGGGUGGUGACGGUAGUGGUAGAAGAAGCACCGGCUAACUACGUG
rnacentral:rRNA from 1 species